rnacentral:rRNA from 2 species
UGGGGAAUAUUGCACAAUGGAGGGAACUCUGAUGCAGCGACGCCGCGUGAACGAAGAAGGCUUUCGAGUCGUAAAGUUCUUUUAUAUGGGAAGAUAAUGACGGUACCAUAAGAAAAAGCCCCGGCUAACUACGUGCCAGCAGCCGCGGUAAUACGUAGGGGGCUAGCGUUGUCCAGAAUCACUGGGCGUAAAGGGUUCGCAGGCGGAAAUGCAAGUCAGGUGUAAAAGGCAGUAGCUUAACUACUGUAAGCAUUUGAAACUGCAUAUCUUGAGAAGAGUAGAGGUAAGUGGAAUUUUUAGUGUAGCGGUGAAAUGCGUAGAUAUUAAAAAGAAUACCGGUGGCGAAGGCGACUUACUGGGCUCAUUCUGACGCUGAGGAACGAAAGCGUGGGUAGCAAACAGG